rnacentral:rRNA from 1 species
GACGUAGGGUGCAAGCGUUGUCCGGAUUUACUGGGCGUAAAGAGCGCGUAGGCGGCUCGUUAAGUGUGAAGCUAAAUCUCUUGGCUCAACCAAGAACUAUUUCGCAUACUGGCGGGCUGGAGUGAUGCAGAGGUGGAUAGAAUUCCCGGUGUAGCGGUGAAAUGCGUUGAUAUCAGGAGGAACACCGAUGGCGAAGGCAGGUCUCUGGGCAUUAACUGACGCUGAGGAGCGAAAGCAUGGGGAGCGAACAGG